UACAGAGGGUGCAAGCGUUAAUCGGAGUGACUGGGCGUAAAGGGCACGUAGGUUGAAGGAUAGGUGAGCUGUGAAAAGCCUGGGCUCAACCCAGGUCGUGCGGCUCAAACCAUCCUACUAGAGGCAAGUAGAGGGUAGUGGAAUUCCCGGAGUAGCAGUGAAAUGCGUAGAUAUCGGGAGGAACAUCAGUGGCGAAGGCG
rnacentral:rRNA from 1 species